CAAGCAAAAACAGUUAGUCGCGAAAGUCUUUUUUGAUAAGGCUUUUGAGGAAAGUCCGGGCUCCGCAGAGCAUAACGCCGCUUUAUAUCGGUGAAGGUAACUUUAAGGAAAGCGCAACAGAAAAUAUACCGCUAUAAUAAUAAUUUAUUAUAGCAAGGGUGAAAUAGUGAGGUAAGAGCUCACUUAGGCAUUAUGCAAAUAGUGUCUAUGGCAAGCCCCGUUAGGAGCAAGAACAAAUAGGAAGACUUUAAGGCUGCUCGUCUUUGAUGGUUUUCGGGUUGUUCGCAUAGAGAAAUGACUGAUUUAUACAGAACCCGGCUUACGGAUUUGCUUGCGAU
rnacentral:RNase_P_RNA from 1 species